rnacentral:ncRNA from 1 species
UAAAAGUUUUAAUUUGGCUUAAAAAAUUGGUGUAAAUUUGUAUUUAUAUAUAUUACUAAUUAAAUAAUUAUUUGGUAGUAAAAAAUUUUGAAUAUUAAUGAGAGUUAGAUUCAGCAAAAUUUAUAAGAUUAACAAAAUUUGUGCCAGCAGUUGCGGUUAUACAGAUUAUCUAAUUAAUUUGGUUAAAUAUUUAAUUGAAUGAAUUAUUUUUUUUAAAAUGAAGAUCUUAUUAGGUGGAAUUUUAAGGUUUUUUGAUGAAUUGAUUUUUUAUUGAAGUUAAUAAAUUUUAUUACAAACUAGGAUUAGAUACCCUAUUAUUAAAAUGUAAAUUUUCAUAUUAGAUUAUUAUUAGUUAAAUUCUAUAAAAUUAAAAAUUUUGGCGGUAUUUUAGUCUUUUCAGAGGAACCUGUACUUUAAUUGAUAUUCCACGAUUUAAUUUACUUAAUUUUUUAGUUUAUAUAUCGUCGUAGUUGAAUUUUUUAUAAGAAUAAUAAUAUUCAAAAUUUAUAAUAAUAAAAAAAAUCAGAUCAAGGUGUAGUUUAUAAUUAAGUAGAUAUGGGUUACAAUUAUUAUAAUAAUGGAUAAAUAUUGUUACAAUAUUUUGAAAUUGGAUUUGAGGGUAAUUUUAUUUAUUUAAAUAAAGUGAUUAAGCUCUAAAAUAUGCACAUAUCGCCCGUCGCUUUCAAUUAAAUGAAAUAAGUCGUAACAAAGUAGAUGUACUGGAAAGUGUAUCUAAAUUUAC